AUAUAUAUAUAUAUAUAUAUACACUCUGAGUUUGACCUCGAACAGAGCACCAAGGUGUUUGGAGAGAGAGGGAGAGAAGAGAGAAAAGAAAAGGAAGGGGGGGGAAAAUGGAUCACGCGGCGGAGGCAAACAGGACGGACUUGAUGACAAUAACAAGGUUCGUGCUGAAUGAGCAGUCGAAGUACCCAGAGUCACGCGGCGAUUUCACCAUCUUGCUUAGUAACAUUGUUCUCGGCUGCAAGUUCGUCUGCACUGCUGUCAACAAGGCAGGUCUUGCCAAACUCAUUGGACUUGCUGGAGAGACCAACGUUCAGGGUGAAGAGCAAAAGAAACUAGAUGUGCUUUCAAAUGACGUUUUUGUCAAGGCUCUGAUAAGCAGUGGCCGAACAUGCAUCCUUGUAUCAGAAGAGGAUGAACUGGCAACAUUUGUGGAGCCAUCUAAGCGUGGAAGGUAUGCUGUUGUUUUCGAUCCACUGGAUGGAUCCUCCAACAUUGAUUGCGGAGUUUCAAUUGGAACUAUCUUUGGGAUUUAUAUGGUGAAAGAUAGUAUUGAACCAACUCUAGAUGAGGUUUUGCAACCUGGGAAGAAUAUGUUGGCAGCAGGCUAUUGCAUGUAUGGGAGCUCUUGCACGUUUGUGUUGAGCACUGGAGCUGGUGUUAAUGGCUUCACCCUUGAUCCAUCUCUUGGGGAGUUCAUUCUAACUCACCCAGAUAUCAAGAUUCCAAAGAAAGGAAAGAUUUAUUCAGUAAACGAAGGAAAUGCUAAGAACUGGGAUGGUCCAACAGCUAAGUAUGUGGAAAGGUGCAAGUUUCCAAAAGAUGGUUCUUCACCAAAGUCUCUAAGAUACAUUGGAAGCAUGGUAGCUGAUGUCCAUCGCACAUUACUCUAUGGGGGUAUCUUUUUGUAUCCAGCUGACAAGAAGAGCCCAAAUGGGAAACUGCGUGUUCUCUAUGAAGUCUUUCCAAUGUCAUUCUUGAUGGAACAAGCAGGAGGCCAGGCUUUCACCGGCAAGCAACGGGUAUUGACUUGAUAAACUUUCUUUAAUUUAUUGAACCUUACCUGACUCUUCAACAAAUUAAUACUUAUUAUAGAUUACCGGCAAGCAACGGGCGCUUGACUUGGUUCCAAACGACAUACAUGAGCGAUCUCCAAUAUUUCUUGGCAGCUACGAGGAUGUUGAGGAAGUCAAAGCUCUUUAUGCUGCUGAAGAUAAGAAAUAAAUUCAUAAGUUUUAUUUUAUUAUUACUACCCACAUAGCCUUAGCAAUUUAUGCAGCUACUCCAAAAUGAUUGGGGUCUUCAUUGCAAAAUCAGGGUCUAGGCCAAUUUCAUCAUCCAUCCAUAAGACAAACUCUUUUUGAAGAUAAACUCUUUUUGAGGCUUCUUUGUAAUGAGAUGAUACAUUCUAUUGAUGGAUAAAUAAGGUCAAGUUUAUACA